ACGGCUACCUUGUUACGACUUCACCCCAGUCGCCAAUCCUACCUUCGGCAGCGCCCUCCUUGCGGUUAGGCUACUGACUUCGGGCAUUACCGGCUCCCAUGGUGUGACGGGCGGUGUGUACAAGGCCCGGGAACGUAUUCACCGCGGCAUGCUGAUCCGCGAUUACUAGCAAUUCCAACUUCACGCAGGCGGGUUGCAGCCUACGAUCCGAACUGAGACCGUUUUUAGGGUUUUGCUCUGCCUCGCGGCUUUGCCUCCCUCUGUUAACGGCCAUUGUAGUACGUGUGAGGCCCAGGUCAUAAGGGGCAUGAUGAUUUGACAUCAUCCCCACCUUCCUCCGUUUUGUCAACGGCGGUCCGGCUAGAGUGCUCUUGCGUAGCAACUAACCGUAAGGGUUGCGCUCGUUGCGGGACUUAACCCAACAUCUCACGACACGAGCUGACGACAACCAUGCACCACCUGUCUCCGCUUUCCCCGAAGGGCACCUAACGCAUCUCUGCCUCGUUAGCG
rnacentral:rRNA from 1 species